UGAAGAAGAAACGCACACACACACACCCCCCACACACACACACACACACUCGACGCUUCUGUGGACCCUCACACAUGGGAAUGGCACAGCAGUGAAGCGCUUGUCCACUGGAGCUGAAGAUUUUCAAAUGAGAGUGAGCGGGACUCCUGUCUUCCCAGAUGGCAGGGAGAUUUUGUCGAACCCUUCCGGAACCAUCAUGCCCAUCCUGAAGAAGCUCCCUGGGAGGUCCCGGAGUAACCUCAGCAACGGUGACGUGAUGCUCAAGAAUAACCAUGGCAAUAGCGAAACAACGCUACAGAGUAACCCCGGCAACGGCGAACUCAUACUUCCGCCAUCCAGCCUCAACCCCUUCGACGACGUGGACCUAGACAUAGGUUGGAACGAGGAAGAAGGCGGGGUAUGGGAGAGAGGGCGGGGCCUGACGA
ensembl:lncRNA